rnacentral:lncRNA from 1 species
AGACAAUGCCAUCCUCUGCUACAUAUGCAGCUGGAGCUAUGAUAUCUCCAUGUGUGCUCUUUGGUUGGUGGUUUAGACCCUGGGAGCUCUGGGGUGUCUGGUUGGUUGAUAUUUUUGUUCUUUCAAUGGGGUUGCAAACCCCUUCAGCUCCUUCAGUCUUUUUCCUAACUCCUCCACUGGGGUCCCUGUGCUCGGUCUGAUGGUUGGCUGCAAGCAUCCUCAUCUGUAUCAGUAAGGCUUUGGCAGAGCUUCGCAGGAGACAGCUAUCUCAGGCUCCACUCAGCAAGACUUUCUUGGCAUCAGCAAUAGUGUCUGGGUUUGGUGGUUGCAUAUGGGAUGAAUCCCUAGGUGGGGCAGUCUCUGGAUGACCUUUCCUUCAGUCCCUGCUUUACUCUUUGUCCCUGUAUUUCCUCCUGUGAGUAUUUUGUUUCCCCUUCUAAGAAGGAUUGAAGCAUCCACACUUUGGUCUUCCUUCUUCUUGAGCUUCAUGUGGUCUGUGAAUUGUUUCUUGGGUAUUCUGAGCUUUUGGGCUAAUAUCCACUUAACUAGUGAGUGCAUACCAUGUGUGUUCUUUUGUGACUGGGUUACCUCACUCAGGAUGAUAUUUUCUAGUUCCAUCCAUUUGCCUGCAAAUUUCAUGAAGUCAUUGUUUUUAAUAGCUGAAUAGUAUUAAUAGUACUACUCCAUUGUAUAAAUGUACCACGUUUUCUGUGUCCAUUCCUCUGUUGAAGGGCAUCUGGGUUCUUUCCAGCUUCUGGCUAUUAUAAAUAAGGCUGCUGUGAACAUAGUGGAGCAUGUGUCCUUGUUAUAUGUUGGAGCAUCUUUUUGGGUAUAUGCCCAGGAGUGGUCUAGCUGGGUCCUCAG